CACUUCUAAGGAAGGCAGCAGGCGCGCAAAUUACCCAAUCCUGACUCAGGGAGGUAGUGACAAGAAAUAACAAUAAACCGGCUUAUGCCGGUUUAAUUGGAAUGAGUACAAUUUAAACAUCUUAACGAGGAACAAUUGGAGGGCAAGUCUGGUGCCAGCAGCCGCGGUAAUUCCAGCUCCAAUAGCGUAUACUAAAGUUGUUGCAGUUAAAAAGCUCGUAGUUGGAUUUCUGUGGGGACGGAGCGGCCGGCCGCAACACGCGGUUCGAGCUAGCGCUUUCCCUACAUCCUGCCGCGAACCGUGCUACCAUUAGUUUGGUGGCGCCGGGGAUCGGCUCGAUUACUUUGAGAAAAAUAGAGUGUUCAAAGCAGGCCACACGCCUUGAAUAAGUUAGCAUGGAAUAAUAACUAAGGACUUCGGUUCUAUUUUGUUGGUGUUCGGGACUGAAGUAAUGAUUGAUAGGGACAGUUGGGGCGGUCUGUAUUCCAAAGCGAGAGGUGAAAUUCUUAGACCUUCGGAAGACAAACAGCUGCGAAAGCGUUCCGCAAGGAUGUUCCCUUUGAUCAAGAACGAAAGUUGGGGGAUCGAAGACGAUCAGAUACCGUCGUAGUCUCAACUAUAAACUAUACCAGCUAGGGAUCGGCCAACGUUAUUCUAUACCGACUUGGUCGGCACCUUAUGAGAAAUCAAAGCAUCUGGGUUCCGGGGGGAGUAUGGUCGCAAGGCUGAAACUUAAAGGAAUUGACGGAAGGGCACCACCAGCCGUGGAGCCUGUGGCUUAAUUUGACUCAACACGGGAAAACUUACCAGGUCCAGACAUAGUAAGGAUUGACAGAUUGAUAGCUCUUUCUUGAUUCUGUGGGUGGUGGUGCAUGGCCGUUCUUAGUUGGUGGAGUGAUUUGUCUGGUUAAUUCCGUUAACGAACGAGACCCCAGCCUGCUAAAUAGCGCGCGUGAGCUUUGCUCGCGGCGAGCUUCUUAGAGGGACUAUGAUGCGCGAUAGCACAUGGAAGUUUGGGGCAAUAACAGGUCUGUGAUGCCCUUAGAUGUUCUGGGCCGCACACGGGCUACACUGGCGCCUGCAACGAGCAUAUCAGCUGGCCCGAGAGGGUCUUGGCUAAUCUUUUGAACCGGCGCCGUGCUCGGGAUUGACCUUUGCAAUUGUUGGUCAUGCAACGAGGAAUGCCUUGUAAACGCGAGUCAUCAGCUCGCAUUGAAUACGUCCCUGCCCUUUGUACACACCGCCCGUCGCUCCUACCGAUGAAUGUUCCGAUGAAAUUUUCGGAGAGUGCCUGUGAACUUGGCUCUGCCUUGCGAACGGGAAGCUCAAAGUCACUUAAAUCUGAACAUUUCGAGG
rnacentral:rRNA from 1 species